rnacentral:lncRNA from 1 species
CCGGAAUGGACGGACUCACGGGCUGUCACAUCGCGCACAUCUUCCCCGGAGAAGGGAUGUGAAUCUUGGUGGGGUGGGGGGCACUACCUGGCCCAGCACAGGGUGCAGGUGGGUGACCCGGGAGACUCUCCCCGCUCCAGACCUGUCAUCAUGUUGCCAUCUGAGGCGGCACUCACAGGUUUGCGGGGCUGCACAUCUUUGGGGGCCUCCACUCAGCCUGGCACAGUGUGUGCCCAGCAAGUAGACGACCGCAUCCUCGCCAGCACACAUGUGCUAGAAACUUCUGUCAGGAAACGCCGCUCUUCACAGCCAAGGGUGGAAACUACUGGAUGCAUUGCAGAGCUGACGCCCUCCCUCCGGCCUGGCUCCGAGCCAUGCCUGGUGUGGUGGAGGGGUGGAGGCCACCCUCACCGGGCCCUGUGUGCUGCUCUGAUGCCGCUGAGGGGGCCGGGGCCUGGGUGUGCCCUCAGCGCGUCCACUGCAGAGGGGAGCCUGCGCCCACGUUUUGGCUCUGUGGGUAAAGGUGGCCACCCCCUGAGCUUGUAGGGGUGUGGGACACUUCCCGAUGCUGCCUGCCAUGAUUUUACAUGAAAAGCCGGGAAAAGGCACUGAGGAGCCACCUGACCCCACGGAAUGCCAUUUCCUGGUGUCGCUUGGCCAGAAGUCAUUGACACAGCCCUGCCAGCCGGAAGCUGGGGCAGGGACGGGGUCCUGCCUUCUGGGACAGGUUCUGUGUGUGCGCGACCAUGUCCCAGAGGUCUCUGCUCAGCCCUGGGGGCCGGUGGGGGUGGGGUUGGAGGGUGGAUGGUGGGGGUGGGGCCAAGUUAGCCCGAGCGGUCUGUGAGGUGAGAAGGGCCGGGGUCUCUCCUCCUCUCCUCCGCACCCCACCCCGCCUUGCUCUGAAUCUCUCCCUCUCUCUGUCUCUGUUGGUCUCUUUCCCUCUCUACUCCCCAUUCUGGUGUCUUUGGAGCCCUGGGUAAGGUGUGUGCUGAGUCCGGUCUGGUUUGGGGUAGAUGUUCUUUGAUCUGUUACCACACCUGGAGGGAAAGCCCCUGGCCCGCCCCCCCUCCGUUCCUGCAGAGCCAGGCCCCCCAACCAGUCGGUGGGCAGGAUGCCCACCAGUUGCCCCCAUCUGGCCCAGGGGGACCUUUCCUCUGCUCUCCAGGGACCACUGCAGGUGGUGUGGCCCCUGAGGGGAGCAUAAGGGUGCAGUGCCUGACUCAGGGGACACAGAAGCCCCGUCCAUACGGCCUUUUACACAGCACAGCACCCAGCCCUCGGCAGCCCAGAGCAGGAACCAACAGGGUAGGUGCCCAGGGGCCCCAAAGGUCAGAGUUCCUCGCACAGCUGCCAGGGAGCACAGGGACCGCAGCACAGGGUCUUCUGCUCAGCACCGGGACCCCGCUCGCUGCAGCUAAAGAAACAGAUACGUCCAAGGGCUCCACGGCCGGGGCCGGGCACCUGGAACAGGGUGGUCCUGGGGCGGCCACAUCCACUCCUUCCAGCUAACACUUCACAGAGAUGUCUGACUGAUGUCCACUGCUCAGCUGCACCCCUGAGCUGGUGAGCAUUCAGGUAGAGCACCCACCUCUACUUUUCUCACCCCGAAAAUCAGAGACUGGUUCUCAGCUGGUGCAGCCACCGCCCCAGCGUACCGGAUGCAGGACUUUCCCUGCGAACACUGGACAGUCCCAGCAAAGCAGACGGUGGGUCGCUCUGUAUCUCUGAAGAACAGCUGGGCCUGCGUGUGUCAUUCUCAGGCAUCUGGCCCAGGGCUUCUCCUCCAGGAAGGUGGCUGCUCAGCUCCGGGCACUGCCAGGGGCCACGGACCCCGCCUCCUUUCCAGGCUGUUCCACAGCAUCUGCCUUCAUACUCACAGCCACCGCGGCGUGCGUCCCAGGGAUUCUCAGAAUAGAAUUCUGUGCCUCUCUCGCCUCUGGAAGUGACCGCGCUCUGUAGGAAAAUAUCACAGCACGCCGGCCUCGAAAGGCCACGACGUGGCUCUAAACUGCUCUAAGUAUGUCAGUUACUUAGAACAAUCAGAAAGGGGCAGAACAAGCUGGGGUGUGGAGUCAGGGGUCAGGGCACAGACAGCACCUCUUGUCUUGCAGAGAGAAUGCUAGCAAUUUGCAAGUUACUUGAAAAGGUUUGUGAUUUUCCAACGCCCUGAGUAAUUCUAGCCAAAAUGCGUGACUCGCCUCACACUAGAUGCUUGCUGUAAUUGUGUCUCUGUAUUAAACUGACCGUUCUUUGGAGCUUCAGAAUGGACCAGGAGGAAAAGGUAAAUACCAACCUCGCUACAACCUCAGAGGCAUCAACGCCCUCCUGCUACAGACGCAUCUGUUCUCGCCUGGCUCCUGCCGGCUGCCCUGGGAGAGGCCACAAAAUGCCCUCCACGGAGACAAGGCCUGAGAACCUUCGGGACGCCCGCUGCCGCUCACUGUGUUGAAGAACUGCCCGUUCCGCACCCCGGGCCCUAGACACACGGCUCUGUGGAGGACGAGGAAGUGCCGUCAGGUGAGACUUCACCGUGAAAUAUCUUCUGAGACACAACAAUCUCCCUGAAUUAAAACUACAGACUCUAAUUUAUAAAAACUGUGUGUUUCAAAAGCUCCAAGUGUUUACAUUCUCCGAUUCAUCAUUCCUUCUUCUAAUUUAUUUUAGGAAAUAAUGCAAAGUACUCACAAAAAUUUAUAUAGAAAGAUGUUCAUUGCAGAAUUCAUUAUAAUAAAAACCUUUAAAUGCUCUGAGUGCCCAGCGUCAGCAUGGUGAUAACAUACAUACGAGGGAAUAUUGUGCAGCUGCAGUUAGUUCUUAUUACAUUUCACAGGCAUCUUAAAUGCUUUGUGAACACCGGUGCAUAGAUUUUUUUGUUUGGUAUAGAUGGCAAUGAUUAGAUG